CUUUCGGUGCCGACGACGGGGAAAGGAGGUUAAGCGAUCCGCUCCCGGUGCCUUGAGAUGGCUGCAAGUUUUCGCGUGCAGGUCGAUGGGGCAGUACGCAUUUUCACCUGGAGUGAAGGAGACCCCGAAAGCCAAGGUCUUGAGCUAAUAAUAUGAACCAGUGUGUAGAAUAGAACCAUAGAAACGUACAGCACAGAAGAAGGCCAUUUGACCACCAGUGCUGAUGCUAUGGGUGGAACAGGUUAGAUGAUCCCUGUGUCCAACAUGCCCGCAAGCUUUCGUUAACAGGUGAUUGGGGCAGUACAUGUUUUCACCUGGAGUGAGAGUGAUGCCAUACACUAGGAUCUUGAGGUUAGAUGAUCCCAGUGUCCAACAUGCCCGCAAGCUUUCGUUAACAGGUGAAUGGGGCAGUACAUGUUUUCACCUGGAGUGAGAGUGAUGCCAUACACUAGGAUCUUGAGGCUAAACAAUCCCAGUGUCUAAAGUGGCCCCCAACUUUUCGUGAGCAGGUCAGCAACCAUUUGUAAUCAACGUGAAAAUGCCAGAAACAAACAUUUCAGGAGCAGGGCAGGGUGCGAGUUUCACGUCAGUCGUUCUGCAGUGAUGACUUCAAAAACGUGGAUUGUUAUUAUUAUACGUGUUUAAUGUGAACUGCUUGUACUUGUAUAAUAAACAUUUAUCUCAUACAGCAGUUUUGUAUCGAGCAUUUUCAAUUAAAUAGCUUCAGAAAUUGUA